GCUUACACAUGCAAGUCGAACGAUGAACCUCCUUCGGGAGGGGAUUAGUGGCGAACGGGUGAGUAACACGUGGGCAAUCUGCCCUGCACUCUGGGACAAGCCCUGGAAAACGGGGUCUAAUACCGGAUAUGAGCCUGGGAGGCAUCUCCCGGGUUGUAAAGCUCCGGCGGUGCAGGAUGAGCCCGCGGCCUAUCAGCUUGUUGGUGAGGUAACGGCUCACCAAGGCGACGACGGGUAGCCGGCCUGAGAGGGCGACCGGCCACACUGGGACUGAGACACGGCCCAGACUCCUACGGGAGGCAGCAGUGGGGAAUAUUGCACAAUGGGCGCAAGCCUGAUGCAGCGACGCCGCGUGAGGGAUGACGGCCUUCGGGUUGUAAACCUCUUUCAGCAGGGAAGAAGCGAAAGUGAGACGGUACCUGCAGAAGAAGCGCCGGCUAACUACGUGCCAGCAGCCGCGGUAAUACGUAGGGCGCAAGCGUUGUCCGGAAUUAUUGGGCGUAAAGAGCUCGUAGGCGGCUUGUCACGUCGGAUGUGAAAGCCCGGGGCUUAACCCCGGGUCUGCAUUCGAUACGGGCAGGCUAGAGUUCGGUAGGGGAGAUCGGAAUUCCUGGUUGUAGCGGUGAAAUGCGCAGAUAUCAAGGAGGAACACCGGUGGCGAAGG
rnacentral:rRNA from 1 species